rnacentral:rRNA from 1 species
UACGUAGGGGGCUAGCGUUGUCCGGAUUUAUUGGGCGUAAAGAGCGUGUAGGCGGCCAUGCAGGUCAGCUGUGAAAACUCGAGGCUCAACCUCGAGACGUCGGUUGAAACCGUAUGGCUAGAGUCCGGAAGAGGAGAGUGGAAUUCCCGGUGUAGCGGUGAAACGCGCAGAUAUCGGGAAGAACACCUAUGGCGAAGGCAGCUCUCUGGACGGUACUGACGCUGAGACGCGAAAGCGUGGGGAGCAAACAGG